rnacentral:rRNA from 1 species
UGAUCUGCCUACCAUGGUGAUAACGGGUAACGGGGAAUCAGGGUUCGAUUCCGGAGAGGGAGCCUGAGAAACGGCUACCACAUCCAAGGAAGGCAGCAGGCGCGAAAAUUACCCACUCCCGGCACGGGGAGGUAGUGACGAAAAAUACGAAUACGGGACUCACUCGAGGCUCCGUAAUUCGAAUGAGUACAAUCUAAAUUCUUUAACGAGGACCAAUUGGAGGGCAAGUCUGGUGCCAGCAGCCGCGGUAACUCCAGCUCCAAAAGCGUAUAUUAAAGUUGCUGCAGUUAAAAAGCUCGUAGUUGGAUCUGGGUCGUGCGUUCACAUGUCGUUGCUUGGUUCUGAUCUCGGUUAGUUCCAGGUGAUGGCGAGGUGGUCGCGCAGCCUUUCAGCCGUGUCUGCGUGAGCAGGUGCUGGUUGGCCGGUGGGUUUACUUGCUGGUUAGUCGGCAUGUUUCCUGAUGCCUUUAAACGGGUGUCGGGGGCGUACGGCACUUUUACUUUGAACAAAUUUGAGUGCUCAAAGCAGGCCCAUGUGCCUGAAAAGUCUUGCAUGGAAUAAUGGAAUAGGACUUCGGUUCUAUUUUGUUGGUUUCCGGAUCCGAAGUAAUGGUUAAGAGGAACAGACGGGGGCAUUUGUAUGGCGGCGUGAGAGGUGAAAUUCUAUGAUCGUCGCCAGACAAACUACAGCGAAAGCAUUUGCCAAGAAUGUUUUCAUUGAUCAGGAGCGAAAGUCAGAGUUUCGAAGACGAUCAGAUACCGUCCUAGUUCUGACCAUAAACGAUGCCAACUGACG